GACGGAGGGAGCUAGCGUUGUUCGGAAUGACUGGGCGUAAAGGGCGCGUAGGCGGUUUUUUAAGUGAGGCGUGAAAGCCCUGGGCUUAACCCAGGAGGUGCGUUUCAGACUGGAAAGCUUGAGGACGAGAGAGGAAAGUGGAAUUCCUAGUGUAGAGGUGAAAUUCGUAGAUAUUAGGAAGAACACCAGUGGCGAAGGCGACUUUCUGGCUCGUAACUGACGCUGAGGCGCGAAAGCGUGGGGAGCAAACAGG
rnacentral:rRNA from 1 species